rnacentral:rRNA from 1 species
GGGGACGUAACAAAGCGACCCAGGAAUGCUUGGGCGUGCCUCCACCCACGCCGGCGUCGGCGGGCGUAUUUCGCCUCACAGUAGGUCGCCGCGACCCGUUGCCUUAGGGGGACGUCGAAGGCCCGGACGGAUUGGUACCCUACCGGCUGGGGAUGCGGCUUCGGCUUCUCCUCUUGUCCGGUGGGCGAAACCGCCGGUGUCCUGGCUGCCCUGCGACGGUCGUAGAGACGAGCCCUUCCCAUUCGUGGGGGGCGGCUCUCGCGGCGUGCAAAAGGUCGGUGAUCCACCCGACCCGUCUUGAAACACGGACCAAGGAGUCUAACAUGUGUGCGAGUCAGUGGGCGCACUAAACCCAGAGGCGUAAUGAAAGUGACACGGGUUCGGCUGUCGCCUCGUGUGGCAGCCGGACUCAGGGCCGAUCCCUCACCGGUUGGCCUCGCCUCUCUCCCGCGUCUCGGUAAGCCGGGUGAGCUAUUUUCCCCGGCCAAUGCUGCGGGGCUCGGGGGGAGGCGGGGUGCGAUGGUGUCCGUAAAAAAGAGCCUGCUGUUGCAGGGGGGCGCAGGCCCGGGACUUGCCAGGACGCCGCGAGACUGUCACUUUGCUGUGAGGCUCCAGGGCCGAUCAGCGGGUCAUGCGUGCAGUCGGCAAGUACCAUGAGCAGACAUGUUGGGACCCGAAAGAUGGUGAACUAUGCCUGGCCAGGAUGAAGCCAGAGGAAACUCUGGUGGAGGUCCGUAGCGAUUCUGACGUGCAAAUCGAUCGUCGGAGCUGGGUAUAGGGGCGA